GCCAGACUCCUACGGGAGGCAGCAGUGGGGGAUAUUGCACAAUGGGGGGAACCCUGAUGCAGCGACGCCGCGUGGGUGAAGGAGCACCUCGGUGCGUAAAGCCCUAUCGGCAGGGAAGAAACAGACGGUACCUGACUAAGAAGCCCCGGCUAACUACGUGCCAGCAGCCGCGGUAAUACGUAGGGGGCAAGCGUUAUCCGGAUUCACUGGGUGUAAAGGGAGCGUAGACGGCGACGCAAGUCUGGAGUGAAAGCCCGGGGCCCAACCCCGGGACUGCUCUUGGAACUGCGCGGCUGGAGUGCAGGAGGGGCAGGCGGAAUUCCUGGUGUAGCGGUGAAAUGCGUAGAUAUUAGGAGGAACACCAGUGGCGAAGGCGGCCUGCUGGGCUUUUACUGACGCUGAGGCUCGAAAGUGUGGGGAGCAAACAGGAUUAGAUACCCUGGUAUU
rnacentral:rRNA from 1 species